CUUUCUUCUUUUCUCUUUUCUUUUCUUCUCCUGUUCUUCUUUCUCCGGCGAGUUUGAGAAUCAAAUAGAGAUUUUGCAGUUUUUUGUAUGAGGCGAAAGGUCAAGGUAGGGUUGGUGAUGGUGAAGCUCGUUGAGAAAGAAGAAAGGAAUUAGAGAAAGUGAAGUGAGGGUUUUGUAUGAUGAAGACUUGGAAGAUGAAAUUAGAGUCACGGGUGAAUGUUUAGAGAUGGGUCUGACGUGAAAUAGGGGAUACGAUUGAAAAAUCACUAGAAUCAAAGAGUUAGGGUUUGUAAGUAGAACUCAGAGAUUAGCUAGAGGAUGAAUUUGAGGUUCUAAGAGAUUGAUUAGAGAUGGGGUUUUGAUUGAUUUGAAGAUUUGAGUGGAUGUAUCGAGUUUGAAUCAGAGAAGCGAAGAUUAGAAAUUGAAUUAGGGUUUUGUUGAGAGUUGAAGAUGGCAAUAAAGAUUAGGAGUCUGAAAUCGAGAAAAGAGAAGUAGAAUUAAGAAUCAGUUGAUGGUGAUGAUGGAUACUUAGGGUUUUCAUUUGAAAUUGAGAAUAGAAGACUAAUAUCAGAGACUAAUUGAUGAUUGUGGUGUUGCUUCAAAGACUGUUUCAAACUCAGGGGAGAUGGAAAUUAGGGUUUCAGCAUCAGUGGGUGGUGGAACAACAAUUCAGGGAAGACUAUUAUUGGGUAAGCCUCUUUGUAGCUUAAUUUCACUGUUUGAAGUUGAAUUGUUUAGUUUGUAUGUGAUUGAGUAGUUUCAGUUGGUUGAAUGGUUUAUGAAUUAAAGACAGGAAGGUGAUUUUGGUUGUGCAGGUGAACUUUAAUGGUUGUAGUAGGGGUUUGGAUUUAGUAAUGCUACAAACUGUUGGAGUUUGGAUAUAAAUUUGGGUUGUGAAUGAGUUAUAAGUAUGAACUGAGUUUGUGUUGUGCAGAGUUGUGUGAAUUGAGUUCUGGAUGGAUGUUAGGUUAUUACUUGAGAAGAUGUUAUGAUUGUCUAGAUAUAGAAAUGAUUGCAGGUACAAGAGAAUGUGUUUGAAGUUGGAGUGGUAUAUAAGGAUGGUGUAGUUGUGGUAUUUUGAAUGUUGCAGUAGUAGUUGGCAUAUGAGAUGCAUAUAAGAAGAUGGACUGAGUUGUUUUGGUUGAAUUAGAUUGAGAUAGAGAUAUGUAGUUGUGAAGGAGAUUUGUCAUUGUUGGAUGAUAGAGCUCAACUUGGUGGUGCUGUGAGAUGCAGGGAGAAGGCUUGAGAUGGGUGUUUUGGCAUGAAAAUGUGUUGAUGUUGUCAGAGUUGAUAUGGGUUUGGUUGCAGAGGUUUGUAUUAGAAUGUAGUGAAACUGAAUGAAUAAAAGUUAGAUGGUUGAUUAUAGAGUUGUAGAUAGUGUUGGAUGUGAGAAGCUUGGAACUGCUUAUUGCAGUUAUUAACAACGAUCGAUUCAAAGGAUGAACCAGUGGAUCAUGGAUCUCGAGGUAGGCGAGGCUUGUCAUCAAAAGAGUUUCAGAGACAGAUCAAGAUGUGCAUGUGACGAUGAAAGCUUCGAAGAAUUAGUUAUUUUAAUUAGUUAGAUUAUGCUAUGUUAUUUUGUGUUUGUAUUCUAUUUUUAAAUCAACUCAUUAUUGAAUAUGUAUCAUUUGAGAGAAGUUCUUGUAUAUAUAUUUCAG